CGAGUUCGAUUCUCGGAAUGCCCCUCCUUGUUUUUGGUAUCCAAAUCCAAAAACAUUGAGAAGAAAAUCUGGCCUGUAUCUGUCCUAAAGUCAACCGUAGACUUCUAAGUUCCAGCUUUUCCUGUUCUGUCUCAAGAACUAAAAUCAAUGGCCCUGUAAUCUGCCCUGAAGUCAACUACAGAACUUCAAGUCCCUAGCGUCCCAACUUCCUUGUCUGCUCAGAGAUUUCAGUAACCUAUUCAAUAUGGAUUUGAUUUCCUAGAAUAAAGUUAAAAUAAUGUAGCAAUGUGAUUUGUCCUAAAGUCAACUGUAGAACAAUAUGACAUUUUCAUAAGUGCACACUUAUUUUAUUUUCUGAUAAGCUCCUAACUAGCAUGUAAAAAGCUAGUGACUUUGCAAUCAAGGUGAGCAAUUUAGAAACAUAACAUUUAACCCAGUAAUCAAUAAAAAAGACAGCCAUCUCAACUUUUCCAAAUAACUGUGGAUGUCAAACAGUGCAACAAAUUACAUGAAAAUGGCAAAUAAAAUUCAAAGAAAAGCAAUAAACGAAAUCUGCAAGCAAGAAAAGGAAACACACUGAUUCAUUGCUAACUGAAACCUUAUUUAUCCAAUGCUUACCUGUCCCAAACACAUUUUUCAACAGUACCUUGAGAAAGAAAAGGUUGCAGAGUUUAUUCUAUGGCUAGACACUUGAAUAGUAAAACUGGUGAACUCAGUGGCAUUAUAUUCAGUUUCAAUUCCAAGAUUAUCAGUGAAUCACCCAAGACCCAACACCAAGAAAAGGGCAGCUGGUGGGAAAGAUAUCCUAAAACAAGCAAAAAGCAGCACAAUGGAUAUGUACGUUAACUUUCCCUUUUCCAAUCCCCAUAGGGAAAUUAUUAAAACUUACAAACUAGUAAUUGCAUCACCAUCAACACAGAUGGCACAUCAUUGGUAUCAACAAAUGGGCAUUUGGUCUAGUG
rnacentral:misc_RNA from 1 species